GCCUCGGUGGUGUAGUGGUUAGAGAACGCAUCCCCGGAUAGGAUGAAACGCCGGUUCGAUUCCCUGCCUGAGGCC